CCUGCACCAACGACUAAAGUCUGCAAAGUGUAGCAAAGAGAACAAUUAUUCAUAUUCUGGAAUGUCUCUGAAGCCCUUUCUGUGUAAAACUAUAUUAAAGGUUGACUCCUAGCUCAAAUCACCUCCAUUAAAUAAUCAGAAAAUUGAGUGGUGGCAUUAGGACGCAUGCUUAACAACCACAGAUUGACUUUUUCUGAUAUCUAACUCUGCUAAAAAAGGAAGCCAUAGCACCUAGUUCCCAGCUCAGCGUAAGAAGCAGUGCAGAGCUACUCAUUCUGCCCCCAAAGAGAAUUUUGCCAACUUUCUUCACAUGUGUUUGGAAAAGGAAAAGAAAAACA